rnacentral:tRNA from 1 species
GAGGGUAUAGCUCAAGUGGCAGAGCACAUACUUAGCAUAUGCAAGUCCUGGGUUCAAUCCCCAGUACCUCCU